UUUUUCUUUCUUCGUGGUCGAUGCGCCAACGGCAUGUUUUACACCAACGAAUAGUUCUGCGCGAUACAGAGCUCUGCCGAUUUUGCAACUAAGGAAAUAAUCCUGAUGAGAAGACUGAGGCUGAAGAGGUGGCGCAGGGUCACACAGAGCAGGGAUCGGAACCACAUCGGCUGACGCCAGCUCCCUGGGUUCUGGACCGCUUGGGAUGUCAGUGAGUCCACCUGCUCUGGCGAGGCCUGUGCUGGGCUCCGGAGAAGAGCCGUGAGCAGGGCAGAUGCGGUCCUGGCUCGCUCAGACCUUCGGCAAUCUGGCGUGGGUGAGAGAUCUCAGCCCUCGUGAUCGUCUGGAUUGUGGUGCAGAGUUUGAACUCACAUCUGCCAGACAGCUUUGGAACGUCUAUCAAGGGACGUGCGACAAUAUCCCAAGAACAAACAAUAGCGCAGAAGGCUUUCAUGUUGCAAUGCGAACCUCAUUUGCAAACACGCAUCCUAGUUUUUGGAAACGGGUUUUUCUCUUAGGAAGGAAGAAAUUUUAGGGAGAAUCGAAGGCGUGUGACGCUGCACAGAACGAUGAACCCACAGGCAAAGAGACACGUGCAAUACUCCGACCCAAAGGCCCCGAA